CAGCAAAACGGUGCGUUUGGGGGCCUAGGGUAAAGCGACGUAUCAACUUCAGUUGAACUCAAACUCUCCCUCAUCUCUCGUCUCAGACUUCUCUCUCACCGGCGCCGCCCCAAGCGUUACUCUCUCUUCUCCGAUCGGAGAUUAGCUCCGCCACCGUGACAAAACAAACCACCUCCUCUCUUAUCUCUCAAAUCGAUUCUCAAAUUGUAUUUUCAUUCUUCUCUCUAAUUCGGUAACACAGAGAACCCUAACCUAAGUCUGAAAUUAAAUGGAAAUCUCGAGGCCUUUUGAACAAUAACCAUGGGGGAAGGAAACACGGGGUUUUAAGCUUCACAGUGAUAUCAAGAAUACCGAAAAAGAUGAAGGUUCAGGGUUUGACGAAGCUUACCUACCGGAGAACGGUCCGAUGCCUUUUCACCAUGAGAAAGCAAGGAAACCAGAGAUGUCUUUGGAACUCAGGGUAAUCGUGAAUUAUAUCGUAACGGUUGAAUCAAGAGCUUGGCGAAAAUCUAUUUGCUGCACAUGGAAGCUGAGCUUUGGACAGGAUUGAGCACAAUGUGGAUCUUGGGAAAUUUGUGGGGCAGUUUUGAAUAUGGCUUGAAUGUAGGUUACGCAGGUUGUAUCGCAGCUAGUCGAGUGAGAAGUUUAGCCAAGGAAUUUGGAAACGCGAAGAUAAGGAUGAAGAUUGGUUCCGAAGACUUUGAAAGUGCAGAAAGUAUGAAGCUUAAGACACUGUUUUUGUUUUCCUUUUUUGAAUGGCUGCAGAGUUAUUGUGAAUAUCUCAUGGGUUCUUAACACCUGAUGAAGGCCAAACAAAGCUCUCGGAAGUUGAAAGUUUAAAACUUAUUCAAUGGAGUUUAGGAGCUUAGAUUUAGGCUUAGAAAUAAGUUUAUGAUGUUCCUUUUUUCUUUGUUCCAUGUUCCGAAGUGUAAAAAACAGUAAGGUAUUGGUAUGGUUUGUAAGGUGAAUAAAGGUUGUAAUUUUUGAAUGAACAUGAAUGAGGUUUGAUGAAAAUUUGCUGAAACUUGUAGAGUUGAAUUUGAACGGAUCCACAUGGACCCUAUGUGAACACCAUGCUUUGAAAAAUGAUCUCGAAUAAAAUUUCCUAGUAUCAACCUUCAAAUCUACCUUAUUGAAUCUCUAAUUCAAUAUCAAGUAUCAUAGCCCAACCAUGGAAAAGUCCAACAAGUCUUUGAAUUGGCAAAGUCUCUUCUCUUGAUUUUGAAAUGAUAAUGAGAUAAAGCUUGUAGUUUUCUUUGUGAAGAAACUUGAAUUUAAUGAAAAGUGAAGCAUUCCAAGUAACUUUCUUUUGAUUUUCAAUAUUAUCUCCAUGAGACUCAAAGCUUUUCUCCUCUAAUUGCCUCUUGAAUUUAAUGA